AGGGCAGUAGCUCCAAUGGUAGAGCAGCGGAUUCCAAAUCCGCGUGUUGUGGGUUCGAGUCCCUCCUGCCCUGCCA
rnacentral:tRNA from 1 species